rnacentral:rRNA from 1 species
ACGGGUGAGUAAUGUCUGGGAAACUGCCUGAUGGAGGGGGAUAACUACUGGAAACGGUAGCUAAUACCGCAUAACGUCGCAAGAUCAAAGAGGGGGACCUUCGGGCCUCUUGCCAUCAGAUGUGCCCAGAUGGGAUUAGCUAGUAGGUGGGGUAACGGCUCACCUAGGCGACGAUCCCUAGCUGGUCUGAGAGGAUGACCAGCCACACUGGAACUGAGACACGGUCCAGACUCCUACGGGAGGCAGCAGUGGGGAAUAUUGCGCAAUGGGCGCAAGCCUGAUGCAGCCAUGCCGCGUGUAUGAAGAAGGCCUUCGGGUUGUAAAGUACUUUCAGCGGGGAGGAAGGUGUUGUGGUUAAUAACCACAGCGAUUGACGUUACCCGCAGAAGAAGCACCGGCUAACUCCGUGCCAGCAGCCGCGGUAAUACGGAGGGUGCAAGCGUUAAUCGGAAUUACUGGGCGUAAAGCGCACGCAGGCGGUCUGUCAAGUCGGAUGUGAAAUCCCCGGGCUCAACCUGGGAACUGCAUUCGAAACUGGCAGGCUAGAGUCUUGUAGAGGGGGGUAGAAUUCCAGGUGUAGC